CCAGUGACAUGGCAGUGGCGGUGAGCCUGGCGCUGGCAGUGUUGGUGACACUCACGUGGUGGUGGUGGCACCAGCACUGGCGGUGUCUGUACCAGCAGGAGAGGUAGCACCGACACC
rnacentral:precursor_RNA from 1 species